ACUUUGCUGCAGCAGGUGCCAAGAUGUUGGUGUUGGAAGGUGUUGGAAAAGUGCUGGAACUACAGAAACUGCAGCUGGCUCUAUACCAUCUCCUGGCUUCUGAGCAGAAGGAAUCUUUGCUCCUGCCAAUAUAAAAUAGGUCCAGCAGUGGUUCUGAGACAAAGCAGCACUACUGAAUAACAAUCAAAUUCACUUGAAAAUCCAACUCAAAGCACCUGAAUGAGCAGUUUACCUGGGGGCUGUUCCACAAUUGCUUGAAGUCACCAGAAGGACUUUCACAGAGUUCAGCAGGUGCUGAAUCAGGCAAGUUCUUAGCAGAAAGGAAGACAUGACUGUUUUAUGGGCUUCAAGAAAACCACAGCCAACGAAAUGUAAGAGCUACUGUGUUAUAAUACCUUAAUAAUGGUAUCUUACUUUGCAAUUGAAGGAGACUGGGAAUGUAGUCUCACAGAUGUGAAUGCCCAAAAGAUACAUCUGGAUAAACACUAUAGACAUGAGGUAGACACAUCAAUGGACUUAUUUUUCUAGUUUGGAUCAAAAGAGAGUUUGUCAAUUCCUUGCUGUCUCAGAGUUCACCCUAUGAAUUGGUCUUGGAGCAUGCAGACUGGAUUUUUAUUUUUUUUUCAAUAAAACUAAUCUGGUAGAAAUGCUGCAGGAAGAUAUCUGCACUCCCACUGCUAAUGGGUGUUGAACAAGUGGGAUCAGACUAGAUCUAGUUUUCAGCAAGAACUUUAAACUGAAUGUGGACAUCACAUCCUUGUGGUCAACUCUUCUACCUCCCAGAUUCUCUCCUUGUGAAACACUGCCUGCUGAGAAUGAGCAGAAGCAGAUGCUGCUACAACCUAGAUGGUGUUUUUUGUCGUGUCAUUUCUAUGCUUUGUGUGAGUACAUCCUGCCACUUCCCUCAUUGUCUGAUUAUCCCAGCUUUGAAGAAUAUCUAGAGCUUCUGGUUUUGUAGCAUUCAGACAAUCAGUGAGCCAGACUUGUCUCACUUUACCAAAAGAUGUUUUGAUCAAUCUCUGUACGAACAUUUGUCUUCAUAUAACUUGAGUAUGGCAUGAACACCACCACAUGGCUGGAACAAAAUAAGGAAUACUUACAAACUAGCUUAUGUGAAUUAUAUAUAGGGGAAAAAAAAGAGUAAAGGUAUUGUGAUAAAGAGAGAGGAGGUGGAGGAUAAUGACAACAGUCCUGGAAGUCUUUGCACAAAAAGAGGCCCCUGUAUCCAACUUGGCUAGCAAAAAAAUGAGAAGCACUAGAGAUGAGUCAUCCAGCUUUCUCUACAGGCUUGGCUUCUGCACAUGCGUAGGCAUGAGUGCGCGUUUGUGACACAUGCAGAACAAUCUACCUCACACUGUGGGUCUGACUAUGACAGCAGCCGCUGAAUGUGCUCCAAGACUGAACAUCAGUGAAGAAAAGUUAUUUUAUCUGGUCUAUAUGUAAGGCUCAUAGUGGCAUCCUGAAAUGUGUUAAACAAUGUGAAAGCUGUCAAUGGUAAGCCCAUCAAACCCAGAAUGAGUUAUACAUUUUUCAGUGAAAUAGAAGUGUUCCAUUUUUUUGUUUCUGUGAAGUCUGGGGCAAGAGUAUACUGGUUUGGGGGACGUCUUCAGUGAAAUGAAUGUAGUUGUUAAAAAUCUUAUGCUUUCCUUUUGAAUCAAAUCUUUACAAAGAGACAUAUUUUACUUUAUUAGUAAUCUUGUAGCUUGUAACAAGGGUCUUAAGACAGAUUCUUUUUUCACUGUACUUCAGCUAAAAUGUUAAGCCUUGUGUCUUUUUAUAGGUUUUAUAGCUGCUAGUUAAAAAUACAUAUGCCACUCCCUGUAAACAUAAGUGAGAAAAAGGAACAGUCUAAAAAGUGCUUUAUGGCUACAGAUCCUUAAAUAAGUGACAUUUAACACUACCCCCCCCAAAAAAAAAAAAAAGAAAAAAAAAGAGAAAAAAGAACAAAGAGGGCCAAUUUCAGCUCACAGGACUGCAAAGGAAACUGAGAAACUGCCAGACUGCUGCACAGAGAAGAGGCAAGGGGAGGACUUACAGAGACAACACUCACCUGUGCAGAGUGUUGCACUUCAAUCACCUUGCAAGUAAGAUCAAACACAGUCUGAGCUGAGUUCCUGGUAAGCCUCCUCCCCUGGGGGAGGGAGAUCCAGUUCUUACACUUGCACUUUCAGGGGAGGAACUUGAGGAACAAGACUUUGUUACAGUCUCUAGGUAGUGGGAGUCUAACACCAGUGGAAGGCUUGUACUUUGGCUUGGCAAGCUGGUGUGCUGAGCGAUCGAUCGUGCGUAAAGAGCCAGUCUGAAACUUUUAGCCAUGUGGUUCUGACCAUUUCAGGAAGAGCUUUCCUUAGAGGCAUGAAAGCUUUGUUUUUAUUCCAUGCCAUUCAGAAGUCCUCAUCUACCUCACUGCAAAAGUACAUGCAAAUUAUACAGACAUAAACCCAAAUAUAUUUGGCUGAAAAUAAUUAUUCACAGCAAAUUAAUUGCCAUUAGAGCCAUUUGGUCCAAGAAACACUUUUAAGGUUCAAUAACUUUUUACAUCUGGUGUGCUUACUGUCUUGAAAUAUUAAAUAACUGAUAUUCAUUAUAAUGCUACCCAUAAAAUGAGAACUUCACAUUCCUUGUUCCCAAGGAGUUUAUUUAUCUAAACAAAGUGUCUGGCCACCCCUGGAAGCAGCUGGUUUCCAUUCUUCGUUCCACAUAUUCUUACAGUAACUAAUUAAAGUGUAGAAGAGAUGUUGUCCUCCUUCUACAGGUGAAAAACUAGGGUUCAGGGAGAGCAAAUAAUUAACUGAAGUAACAGAUUCUGUUGCAAAACAGAGGCUUGAACUAUACUCCACAGGGUCUAAAGUCUACAUACUGAAUUAACCAUAAAAUAACACAUUUGUCUCUAAUGAGGAUAAAUAUAUUAUCAUGCUAUUGCCAGCUGGUACCACAACCUAAAAAAAAAAAAAAAAAAAANNNNNNNNNNNNNNNNNNNNNNAAAAAAAAAAAAAAAAGAAGCAAGCUAAAAAUUCUAGGAUAAGAUGCUCUGCUGAAUGAUUAUUAUUAAUUUUAUAUUUGUACUGCUUUAUCACUAUCAUUUGGGUGAUUUGGGUGUAUAUUUAUUAUGUGGCAUUUUUAACACAUCACAAAAUCCUUGGUCUGAAAGGGUUUUAGCAGAUUUCACAGUCUGUCUCCAUGAGCCAAAGAAGAGUUAAUUGCAUUUGUGUUAUCUCUAGAUAAACAUUCACAUCAGACUUUCAGUAGUGCAAAUUUCGCAUUUCCAGUAACUUAUUCUGGUGCUUUACUACCAUUACAUUACAAAGGUUUUCCAGGUAUCUAACCUGAACCUUCAUGCUGUCUUUUAAGAUUCUCCUGUUUACUGUGAACAUGAAGAAUAUUUUAUUCUGUCUCUUACUAUAGAUUAUUGUAGUGAUAUGCAUACUAGUAA
ensembl:lncRNA